GACGAACGCUGGCGGCGUGCUUAACACAUGCAAGUCGAACGGAAAGGCCUGCUUUCCCUUGUGGAUUGCGGGUACUCGAGUGGCGAACGGGUGAGUAACACGUGAGUGAUCUGCCCCCAACUUGGGUAUAAGCCUGGGAAACUGGGUCUAAUUCCCGAUAGGACUGCAGGGUGGUGCCUGUGGUGGAAAACGAUUUUCUAGUGGUUGGGGAUGAGCUCGCGGCCUAUCAGCUUGUUGGUGGGGUAAUGGCCUACCAAGGCGGGGACGGGUAGCCGGCCUGAGAGAGUGGACGGCCACAUUGGGACUGAGAUACGGCGCAGACGCCUACGGGAGGCAGCAGUUGGGAAUAUUGCACAAUGAGCGGAAGCCUGAUGCAGCGAGGCCGCGUGGGGGAUGACGGCCUUCGGGUUGUAAACUCCUUUCGACCGCGAGGAAGCCACCUGGUUGGAGGGGUGGUGACGGUAGUGGUAGAAGAAGCACCGGCUAACUACGUG
rnacentral:rRNA from 1 species